GACGAACGCUGGCGGCGUGCCUAAUACAUGCAAGUUGAGCGAUGAAGAUUGGUGCUUGCACCAAUUUGCAGAGCAGCGAACGGGUGAGUAACGCGUGGGGAAUCUGCCUUUGAGCGGGGGACAACAUUUGGAAACGAAUGCUAAUACCGCAUAACAACUUUAAACAUAAGUUUUAAGUUUGAAAGAUGCAAUUGCAUCACUCAAAGAUGAUCCCGCGUUGUAUUAGCUAGUUGGUGAGGUAAAGGCUCACCAAGGCGAUGAUACAUAGCCGACCUGAGAGGGCGAUAGGCCACAUUGGGACUGAGACACGGCCCAAACUCCUACGGGAGGCAGCAGUAGGGAAUCUUCGGCAAUGGACGAAAGUCUGACCGGGCAACGCCGCGUGAGUGAAGAAGGUUUUCGGAUCGUAAAACUCUGUUGGUAGAGAAGAACGUUGGUGAGAGUGGAAAGCUCAUCAAGUGACGGUAACUACCCAGAAAGGGACGGCUAACUACGUG
rnacentral:rRNA from 1 species